GGGGGGAGGCCGGAUUCUGGGCUGUGUCCCGGCGCCCUGUGCUCCUGGCCUGCGCUGCUGGAUUCACGUUCCCGCCCCGCACCCCCCU
rnacentral:pre_miRNA from 1 species